rnacentral:rRNA from 1 species
GUGGGGAAUAUUGGACAAUGGGGGGAACCCUGAUCCAGCCAUGCCGCGUGUGUGAAGAAGGCCUUUUGGUUGUAAAGCACUUUAAGCGAGGAGGAGGCUACCGAGAUUAAUACUCUUGGAUAGUGGACGUUACUCGCAGAAUAAGCACCGGCUAACUCUGUGCCAGCAGCAGCGGUAAUACAGAGGGUGCAAGCGUUAAUCGGAUUUACUGGGCGUAAAGCGCGCGUAGGUGGCCAAUUAAGUCAAAUGUGAAAUCCCCGAGCUUAACUUGGGAAUUGCAUUCGAUACUGGUUGGCUAGAGUAUGGGAGAGGAUGGUAGAAUUCCAGGUGUAGCGGUGAAAUGCGUAGAGAUCUGGAGGAAUACCGAUGGCGAAGGCAGCCAUCUGGCCUAAUACUGACACUGAGGUGCGAAAGCAUGGGGAGCAAACAGGAUUAGAAACCCGUGUAGUCC